GAUGAACGCUGGCGGCGUGCCUAAUACAUGCAAGUCGAGCGAACAGAUAAGGAGCUUGCUCCUUUGACGUUAGCGGCGGACGGGUGAGUAACACGUGGGUAACCUACCUAUAAGACUGGAAUAACUCCGGGAAACCGGGUCUAAUGCAGGAUAACAUGUUGAACCGCAUGGUUCUACAGUGAAAGGCGGCUUUGCUGUCACUUAUAGAUGGACCCGCGCCGUAUUAGCUAGUUGGUGAGGUAACGGCUCACCAAGGCAACGAUACGUAGCCGACCUGAGAGAGUGAUCGCCCACACUGGAACUGAGACACGGUCCAGACUCCUACGGGAGGCAGCAGUAGGGAAUCUUCCGCAAUGAGCGAGAGCCUGACGGAGCAACGCCGCGUGAGUGAUGAAGGUCUUCGGAUCGUAAAACUCUGUUAUUAGGGAAGAACAAAUGCGUAAGUAACUGUGCGCGUCUUGACGGUACCUAAUCAGAAAGCCACGGCUAACUACGUG
rnacentral:rRNA from 1 species